ACCUAUCGCCAUAUAAGGU
rnacentral:miRNA from 1 species